CCACACCAGCCACAGCCCCUUUUGCAUUUCCUAGAACCUGUAAAGUCAAAGCACUGGUGUGUUUUGUGACCAAAAAAUUGGUCAAAUUUACAAAAUAUGCUAGCGCUGAGUUGAAUAGUAGGUACCAAACAAUCUUGAUAUCGUCUCUGGCAAGAGCCAGUGUAAUACCAACCACAUUGUCUUCCAUGAUAAGAGUUGCCGGAAGUAAAAAGACAACAGCUAUAGGAGCCAUGUAUAGAAGAAGGUUCAUAGAAUUCAGCUUCUCCCCCUCGGAAGAUAGCAAAAUCCCUUGUAGCACUGAUUUGAGUGCCCUUGCAGCUGUAGCAGAAAUGCACAUUAUAAACCCAAAUAGAUGAAAACUUGGUUCACCCCCACUGGCAAUAAUUACUCCAGUAACGACUGGAAUCAAGGUGACAUAAGUAAGCCAAGCCUCUCUCUUAAGGGUCAUCAAAUAAGCGAAAACAGCAGUAAAAAACGGUGUCGUAGCACCUACAGCCUGAUUGAAAGAGACGGGAAGGAACCUCAAAGAAAUGUUACCAAACACGACCGAUACACAAAAGACGAGACUCAAGGCGGAGAUCUUGAGGAAUUGAAGGCGAGAACGAAUUGUCUGCAUAGGGACCAUCUUCAUCCAUGCAAUGGCUAUAUAGCUAAGCAAACUACAAGCAGUCAUAUGACACAUGGUAAGGAAGAUCGGGUACUUGAAUCCGUAAUUGCUUAGCAAAUACUUGUUCAGCAACAGAACCCCAAUAUUCGAGGAGUACCAGGCGGUCACUAGACCGAUCGUGAAGAACCGGGACGUGGUCUUCAUGGAGGAAUUUGAUCAAGAAGAGCCGGUGGGAUGUAUGUUUUCUGAGCGGACGGCAGCGAAUUGAGGCGCUGGAAGAGAUUAGGUGAGCUGAGGUGAACUGCGUUGGUACGGAUCUGGAAACAGAGAGGAAUUAACAGAGAUUAGAGGGUCUCUCCCUCCCAUGGAUCUGUGACAUAGAUAAAAGAAUUUGAAAGAGAGAGGAAAAGUUGGAGGGAAAAGGAGAUGGAAAA
rnacentral:misc_RNA from 1 species